rnacentral:lncRNA from 1 species
CUUUUGCCUUUUGCCUUUUCUAGGGCCGCUCAUGUGGCAUAUAGAAAUUCCCAGGCUAUGGGUCUAAUCGGAGCUAUUGCUGCCAGCCUACGCCAGAGCCACAGCAAUGUGGGACCCAAGCCACAUCUGCGACCUACACCACAGCUCAUAGCAACGCCGGAUCCUUAACCCACUGAGCAAGGCCAGGGAUUGAACCCGCAACCUCACGGUUCCUAGUCGGAUUCGUUAACCACUGAGCCAUGACAGGAACUCCCCGGGAGAAAAGUCUUGAGAAAGUUUCACAGCAAAAUUGUUAAGUUUCUGGGCACAGGAGUCAGGCUGUCUGAGUUUGAGUCCUGGCUCUGCUAACUGGAUCUUGACGUUCAUCUCUGUGAAGCCCAGUUUCCUCAUUUGCAAUAUGAGGCGGAUGAGAGUACUUAUUUCACAGAGUUACCGUGAGGUUUGAAAUAUAUAAUAUACUUAAAGUACUUGGAAUGCCAGGCAUUACACUGAUAAACCUUGUGCUUGACAUUCUCACCGAUUUUCUGCAAGCAGCCAGCACAAAGAAUCUGUUUGGGUGUUUCAAAACAAAGAUAGAGUCUACCUCACCCAGACAAUUUUUGCAUCAUUCUUCCAUCAUUCAGUUCCUUUUUUUUUUUUUUUUUUUUUUUUUUUUUUGUCUUUUUAGAGCCACACCUGCAGCAUAUGGAAAUUCCCAGCCUACGGGUCGAAUCAGAGCUACAGCUGCCGGCCUACACCACAGCCAUAGCAACACAGGAUACGAGUCAUGUCUGUGACCUACACCACAGCUCACAGCAAAGCCAGAUCCUUAACCCACUGAGCGGGGCCGGGGAUCAAACCUGCAUCCUCAUGGAUAUUCAUCGGGUUCAUUGUGUCCGGAGCCACAACAGGAACUCCUCAUCAUUCAAUUCUUACUUAUUGAACACCUACGAGAAGCAGGAUUUUGUAAAAAGUAUAAAAGACACAAAGAAUAGCAUGGAGAGCUACCCUGUCUUGAAGGAAUAUAAAAACUAAGCAGGCCCGAUAAGACACAGUGUCAAGGAAAAACUGCAUGACGCAGUGAAGAGGGGUGCCUAUAAGGUCCCACAUCAUUUAGGAUUAGGUUGGGGAAAACCCCAAAUGAUGGUGACUGAAGCAAGGUGAAAAUAUAUUUUUCCCUUCUAUAAUCAAAGUCAAGGGAUAAGCAGUCCAGGCUGACGUUUGUGGCUCAGUAACUGUGAAGGGCCACCUUCAACACAUGGCUCUACCCCAUUACCCAAAAUGUCAUUCCAGCUCCAGCCUGGUCAUCCUCUUCUGCAUCCUCAUCACCAUCUUCCUCGCCAGAGCCACACUUAGAGGGCACACACCGCACACUACGUGCCAGGGGCCAUUCCAUCACUCUUCAAAUAUCAUGGGAUCCUCACAAUAGCCCUGUUACGGCAAUAUUAUUUUUACUCCUGUUUUAUUACUAAGAAAACUGUGGCACCAGAGGGUUCAUAACUAGCCCAAGGUCACACCCCUAGGUGGCAGAGCUAGGAGGAUUUCAGCUCAGUCUGGCUCCGGAGUCCAGCUACUAGGAAGAGGCGAAGAAGGGCAUUCCCUGCCCUUUAAUGACAUUUUGGUCAGACCUGAGUCACACGGUCAUAUCUGAUUGCAAGGGAAGGCGGGAAACAGUUGUUAUUCAGGGCAGCCCAAGCUGGGAGUUCUUUCACUCAGAAAGACGAGGAAAUACAUACUGGGGACUGAUUUGAGGUCUUUGGGAGUAUGGAUCCCCAUAAAUUCCUCCCCUCUGGUCCUGGUUGACCCCUAGCAAUAAUCCUGUAUUACAUGACUCCUCCCUCUGCCCUUCCCCAAGAGUGACUGGUCAGAGCUCCUGAACUGGGACAAGGAGAGGGAUUGCAUCUUGCUGUGUUGGGCAGCGGCCUCUAUCCUCCAGGACGGUGGGCAGCAGAAUUCAGCCAAGUCUUCAGGGUGACAGUCUACAAAGACGAAGCUUAAGUGUCUCUAUAUAAUAUAAAAUGCACUUGAAGUACUUGUUCUUGGCGAGAAUGUGGCCCAUGAAAUGUCUCUAGCUGCUAAUGCCACUGUGGGUACAGAUGACACCCCCAGGAGGGAGACCCUUGACUAGAACCUGGCGGGAGGCAGGAGCAUCAGGAGUCAGAAGGAGCUGGGAAUCAGCCAGCUCCAUGGCCAGAGGAUAGUCAGGAAAGCGUGCUCUGGAAGCCCAGAACACUCUCACAAGGAGGAAGACAGGGCACUCGGUGGGCGCCAAGCAUGUGGGGGUUGGAGAGCAGGAGGUGGGCCAGAGCUGCUGCUUCCCCACACCCCAGUGGGGGGCCAGGCUUCAGCUCCCUGCAGGCCCAGCCCUGUUAGCGCUUCCACCAGCCUCCCUGUUGCCCUGGAAAGGGCUCCAGCACUGGGGCUGCGCAGAGUCCAAUCAUUCAGAUUUAUGAUGGAAAAUGGCCCCAGGGACUGGGGCAAUUUACUGCUCACAAGCGAAUUCCAACUUGUCCAUGAAAGUACCUCAUUCCGGUCCCAACACCCAGGCAUGUUCACACCUCCGGUGAGGAGUCAGGCCUGCCCAGAUGAUUAGCGUGUGGGAUGGGCUCUGUGGGAGCAGCACAGCCUCUAAAGGCAGCCAGGACAGCCUUCAGUGCCGGGCUGCUCCAUCCCACCCAGCCCGGGAGAGAACGAACAAGGCCCCGCAAUAGUCCCCAGCUCCAGCCGGCCCUGGACGAGCAUUUACUGAGCAGGCAGAACCCACCAGAGAGUCAUGGACGAGUGGGCUGACAGGGGACUGGAGAGCAAGGCUUUGCCAUCAGGCCCUGGCUCUGCUGGUUAAGACCUUGAGCAAGCUCCUUGGCCUGAGAAGGUUUCCUCUUCUGCAGAAGGGGAUCGAGUCCCACCUUGGGAGGGUGUUGGGUGAUUAAAUGAAAUAACUUGUGUGAAGCACGAGCCCUGGGGGUACGGCACGCAUUGGCAAACCAGCGUGAUUAUCAUUCCCAACCAGCCCUGCAGUCUGAGCUCUUCCCCCAAAGCAUGAUGAGAGGAGGGGGGUUACUGGGGCGGGGGGCGGUUACAGGACAAGAACUGCUAAGCCAUUUCCCCUCCUCUCAUGUCUGUCUUCUUCCGGGAGGGCCAGCCCUCAUUCCUCAACCCUCCUUCCCCAACCUCGCAGCAGCAGCCUCCACACUCAAGAAGCCCUCCCUGAUUCCUAAGGUCCCCAGGAAAUGGGGUGUGGUGAGGGCCCAGCCCAGCGCGAAGAACCUGCUCACAGUCUGAACCUCCAAGCUGCCCAGGUGGAGGUAGAGGCAGGUGGGCUGGACCAGCAGACUCUGGAGGGACCGGGACAGGAGCACAGGGGUGUCCUUGCCUCCAUGAGCCACUGGCCUCCCAGGGGAAUUAACGGACAGGGUCAUCUGCCCAGGCUUACACUGUGUUUUGCUAUUUCUUCUCUUCUCUCUCAUUAUAAUCCCACUUCCACGCCACGUUGUCUUGAUCAAUCUCUACGAAUAUGGAAGCAAUUGGCCAGUUUGGAAACAAUGCAGACUCCUUCACGCUCUUGCCUGACGUUCACCUCCCUGGACUUGCUGACUUCCUCUACUCUUGGCUCAGCCCCCGGUGGGCUCAUUUUCUUUGCUGUGCUUCUAUAUUAAAAAGUGGGACUGGAGCCAGGAUGGAGAAACCCAUUGGGGAUCUGACUGUUUGCUUCGAGAUGCCCGCCAGCCACCCCCUUUGCUGGAAUCCACAGUGGGCAGAGUGCGAGAAGGCACUUCCCAAAGGGACACGUCACCCUCCAGCCUCCCAGCCCUCUGCCCGAGCACCCAUCCCCAGGGUGUGUGCAGGGCAGCAUCCUAAGGUGGCUGCUGAGGCAAAUAAAGACUCAUAAAGAAAGGUCAGUGCCCCCACCCACCAGCCCUCAUGCAUAUACCCCGGAACAAGGGCCAUUCGCCACUUGUCAAUAUCACUCCUUAGCCCCAACCUGGGCCCCAGGUGUGUCAUAGGAACAGAGCCAGUGGUGAAGGGGGCCUGUGAUGGGCAGUUCCCACCCCAAGAAAGUUUACAACAUGCAACCUAAGAGAUGAGAUUGACAAACUCAAACCAUUUAGGAACAGAAUAAGAUGUAGGACUAUAAAAGAUGAGGUUCUAGGAACAAGUCCUGCCAGCGUUUGCAGUGACGCAGUGGGCUCCAGGUAGAAUCCUAGAGGUUUGAGAGUAGGCACUGCUGCUAUAGGGGGGAGGGAGGGUGGCUCAGGGAGGGAGGCUGACACCCCACACAGAGUCCCCAAGCACCACUUAACAUGGUAGCUGACCGUGACCAGCUGUGGCUGGGGUGGGCCUGCUCCUCUCAGAGCCACUGGGGGAGGCUGAGGUUUGGGUUUUGUUUGGGGAGAAGCUUAAAUGUCAAGGAGGGUUAUGAGACUGACUUACCUACCAGGAACACCCAGAGGGGCAGGGACUAGAGGGGGACCAGGUGGUGCCAGCACCCAGGGCCCUUUGCUGUGCUGGAGUGGGGAUGGCUGAGGGGAGCCUUCCUGGCUGCAGGAGGAUGAGGAGAUUAGUGGAGACAGUGAUCUCCGGGGUAGCGGAAGAUGGCCCAGCAGAUACUAAGUCUCACGGCCAAUUGCAGGAAACACCCCAACCUCACCUCAAGGGACCCCAGAUGCCCCAGCGUCCCCAAUGAAAGAGCUUGAGUCCCCUCUGAACACCUCCACUGCCACCCCAUGAUCGGCACAAAGGGCAACCCAGAAGGCUCGUUCCUGACACCCUUGUCUGAUCGCUCCAGGACCCCUGGAAUCUUUCCCAGAUGCACCCUGUCCAACGCGGCCCCACUCCGCAAGUCUGCAAGGGCCUGGGAGGAAACCAAGAGUGUGCCGCCCAAGAUAAAGGUUUCCGUCUGAUUUUGUGGUUCAGCUGAAGUCGUGUUCUGAACUGUCCAAAGAAACAGUUUUCAGCCAGGAGGCCAGGAUGUGCCAAAACAUGCCACUUCCAUUCCCAGUGCCAACUGGGUGCUACGAACCCAUUUCCUAAGUCAUAGCCAGAGCUAAACUGCACUCAAUGGGCCGUGAUAGGCAGCAAGGAGGGCUGGCUACCAGCUGGGUGACCCUGGGCUUAAGGACAUGAGGCAGGGCUGGGCAGCAGAAUGUCCCUUGGCAGGGAGAUGGGAGUCCUGCCCUCCCAGCUGCACUGUCAGCCCCCCUGCUGACCUUGCUCAAGAGGCUUCUUCCCACCAGGUCUUGGUGUCUACAUCUGUGAAAUGGGAGAGGGCUAGUGCCAUGCUUCUCAAAGUGUGUUCCCUUUAGCACCAUUAUCAUUUGAGAACUUGUUAGAAACACAAAGCCUGGGAGUCCCUGCGGUGGCUCAGCAGUAACAAACCCGACUACUAUGUAUGAGGAUGCCGGUUUGUACCUGGCCUUGCUCAGUGGGUUGGAGAUCCGGCAUUGCCGUGAGCUGCAAUGUGGACUGGCAGCUAUAGCUCUGAUUCGACCCCUAGCCUGGGAACUUCCAUAUGCUGCAACUGUGAUCCCAAAAAGACCAAAAAAAGAGAGAGAGAGAGAGAGAGAGAGAGAGGAAGGAAGAAAGGAAGGAAGGAAGGAAGGAAGGAAGGAAGGAAGGAAGGAAGGAAAAGAAAGAAAUGCAAACCCCCUCCUAAACCCAGAACCCAGAAAUCUGUUUUAAUAAGCCUUCCAGGUGAUUCUGAUGCCAGCUAAAAUUAGGAGACCUGUACAUUUCUGUCCAGCUUUAAUAUUUAAUGAAUCUUACUUCUUUUACUCAAAAGAACUACCUACUUCCCAGGUUAUAUCACACUCCUGAAAGAAGGACCAGCCCUUCCCUUGAGAGAGACAGCGCUCAGCCUUGACCUCAGUUCUAGCCUGGUCUGAAGCUGGCAUCACCAGAGCUCUGGGCUCUGCCUGAACUCAGCCCUUGGUCCUGUUGUGCGCUGGGAUCUGGCCUGGGCUUGGAACUCCGGAUUCUGGGUGUGGCCUGGGAUAUAGCAGCCCAGAGGAGCCAAGUUCAGGCAGCCCCAGUGGCUGUCACAUGGCAACAGAACCUCAUUUCCAGACAGACUACCAGGCCAGCUCCACCAGGAGAUGUGGGGGGAGGCAAAGAGCUAAAACGAAGGCUCUGCUAGCUCUAGAGAUCACAGGCAUCCUGGGAAGGAACAAAUUCUACUGCCUCACCGCCAGCCUUUAUAGAAAGAAAAAAGCCCCAAGGAGAGCGCCCCCUACAGGGACACCCGCUGUGAGCAUAUGGUUUCUUUGCAAGCAACUUAAUACUCUCUCAGUCCAAGCAGGGCAUUAAGAGGCAUUUCUCCCUGGCUUAGAUCUGUCCUGCAGAGACAUCUUCAGGAGUCUGAGGGUCCCAGCAUGAUGGCCUCAACGGAGUGGUCUUGAGGAGCUGGUUUCCAGGGAGACACCAGUUCUGGAACUGGGACAGGCCAGCUCACAAAGCGACUGAGUCUGCAGGCAGGCCCGGAUCCAGAAGGGCCAGGGGACCCAGCCUGUCCUAGAGUGUAGGGGGACCCUGGGAGCUGGGGGCCAGAAAGAGAUGGCACAGGGAGUUCGGACAGGAAUCUGAGACAGAUUCCAGGCCUAAUGGGCCCCCUCAGCCCCUCUCGUACAGGGUGGCCUCAGAGGGGCUGCUCUCUGGUGAGGAUGGGGAGGAGCUGGCAAAGCCAGACCCUUGGUCCAAUCGGAAAUACCUUUCUCCUUGGGCCCCGGGCCACUGCAUGAUGAGGCUUAUUUUCACUGAAACAUGCCUUCCCCCAUAUUUCUGGGGCCUGUUUUAUUAUGGUAACCGUGAGUUCCUAGCACUCAGAGAAGAGGCAAGGCUGGGAGAGGGAGGAGGGUGGGCCUGACACAUCUGUCACUAAUCACAGGGAAAGGCUCAGACCAAAACUCAUUUCGGACCCAGAGCCUCUGGGCCUGUUUUGGGAAAGUUGACUAAUCCCAUAAUCCUACCCAUCAGGCAAUUUUUCUGCCUGGCUUCCAAGUGGGAGUGGGAGAGAGCCCUGGGGGCAACUGUCCCGCUGAGGAAUGUGCGCUCUUAAAGGGGAAAGCCCCUUCGUUAGGUCUUGCUGGUUCCACAGACAUCUAUGGCAUAGGAGUGUCAGGAGCUGGGCCUUGAUGGCAGUGCCCGUGCCGGGUGGAGGCCAGUCCUGGAAGCAGGGGACAAGGGAAGGGUACAGGGGGCCCUGCAGGACUACGGCCACCUCUCUGGGCCUGCUACUCAGACAUGGGCCUGGCAACUCAACCCGGCCAGGGAGCAUGUAUUAUACGAGCAGAUGCCAGUGGAGCAGACACCUCGCUCCCUGGGCCAGGCCUCUAGAAGGACGGAAAUGUCACAUCCCCCUCCUCCAAGAAUUGCCAUCUCUUCAGUCCAGACAACUCGGGCAGGAGGUGACGAGUGUCCUUAGCUUGUCCACGUGCUGAGGAGACCUCUCCUCAAGGCAGAGACCCUCAAGGCAAUGAGCUGGCACCAUGCAGACACCCGCACACCCGUACGCACACACAAGCCCAUACUCGCCACACAGCCCGCAGUGACUCCAGCACUCCAACCUAGCGAUACACUAACUACGCCACUGAAGACCAGUGCCUCCUCCAGUCACAAGGGAGCAAGUUGUGUGCGAACUAGAUUUGUCCCUCUGUCUGCAUUUUCCCUUCGUUGGAUAGGACCAAAAGACACAUGUUCACUUGGUGGGGGUGGAUGAGGAGGUCGAGAUGAAAAUACAUACAUUUUUUUUUAAACCACGUUUGAAAGGGAAGGAAUCCUUUUCAGAUCAUAUAGACAAAAGAAAAUCAUAGUCUCCUGGUCAAACCUCACCAGGGCCCCACAGGGAGACCUCUGCUCCAGUGAAACUCCAAACCACCCCCUCCUGGUCUGCAUCUUCUGUCGAGGUGUGGGAAAGGAGGGGUGCCUCCAAGGGCAAUUCUUUUGUAAGCUUCUUAAAGUCCGCUUCGUCCUGUGAGUGUCCCAUAGUGAUCCUUGAGGCCCCCAGCGCAUGGCGCCCUGGGUCUCUUACAAAGGGAGGAGGACUGAGCGUCCAGCUGGCAAUAAGCAUGCGCUGUCUCUUUAAGAACAUGGCCUGAGAGUUUGUUUGGGUCUCAGUGGGAGGAAAGGA